UACGUAGGGCGCAAGCGUUGUCCGGAAUUACUGGGCGUAAAGGGCGCGUAGGCGGCAAAUUAAGUCAGCUGUGAAAUCUCCGAGCUUAACUCGGAACGGUCAGCUGAUACUGAUCUGCUAGAGUGCGGAAGGGGCAAUCGGAAUUCUUGGUGUAGCGGUGAAAUGCGUUGAUAUCCAGCGGAACUCCGGUGGCGAAGGCGAGGUGCUGGACCCUUUCUGACGCUGAGGCGCGAAAGCCAGGGGAGCAAACGGG
rnacentral:rRNA from 1 species